GGCUGGGUAGCUCAAGUCGGUAGAGCAUCGGAACGGCAUUCCGAGGCCCCGGGUUCGAGUCCCGGUCUGGCUG